rnacentral:rRNA from 1 species
UCGGAGUGCUUGCACUCUGUGAAACAAGAUACAGGCUAGCGGCGGACGGGUGAGUAACACGUGGGUAACCUGCCCAAGAGAUCGGGAUAACACCUGGAAACAGAUGCUAAUACCGGAUAAUAACAGAUGAUGCCUAUCAACUGUUUAAAAGAUGGUUCUGCUAUCACUCUUGGAUGGACCUGCGGUGCAUUAGCUAGUUGGUAGGGUAACGGCCUACCAAGGCGAUGAUGCAUAGCCGAGUUGAGAGACUGAUCGGCCACAUUGGGACUGAGACACGGCCCAAACUCCUACGGGAGGCAGCAGUAGGGAAUCUUCCACAAUGGACGCAAGUCUGAUGGAGCAACGCCGCGUGAGUGAAGAAGGGUUUCGGCUCGUAAAGCUCUGUUGUUGGUGAAGAAGGACAGGGGUAGUAACUGACCUUUGUUUGACGGUAAUCAAUUAGAAAGUCACGGCUAACUACGUGCCAGCAGCCGCGGUAAUACGUAGGUGGCAAGCGUUGUCCGGAUUUAUUGGGCGUAAAGCGAGUGCAGGCGGUUCGAUAAGUCUGAUGUGAAAGCCUUCGGCUCAACCGGAGAAUUGCAUCAGAAACUGUCGAGCUUGAGUACAGAAGAGGAGAGUGGAACUCCAUGUGUAGCGGUGAAAUGCGUAGAUAUAUGGAAGAACACCGGUGGCGAAGGCGGCUCUCUGGUCUGUUACUGACGC